GACGUAGGUGGCGAACGUUAUCCGGAAUUAUUGGGCGUAAAGGGUGCGUAGCUGGCCUGAUAAGUUAGCAGUGGGAAAUCGAGGCUCAACCUCGUGGAAGCUGGUAAUACUGUCAAGCUCGAGUGCAGGAGAGGUUAACGGAACUCCAUGUGGAGCGGUAAAAUGUGUAGAUAUAUGGAAGAACACCAAUAACGGCGAAGGCAGUUAACUAUUCUGUUACUGACAUUGAGGCACGAAAGCGUGGGGAGCAAAACGG
rnacentral:rRNA from 1 species